GCGAACGGCGUGACGGUAGCCGCGGUAAGCGGUAGGCUGCUAGGGUGGUCCGUGUUUAUUGGGCGUAGAGAGUUCGUGGGUGGUUCGUGAAGUCUGGGGUAAAAGACUGGGGCUCAACCCUGGGAGCGCAUUGGAUACUGGCGGACUGGAGUGCAGGAGAGGCAAGCGGAAUUCCCAGUGUAGCGGUGAAAUGCGUAGAUAUUGGGAAGAACACCGGUGGCGCAAGCGGCUUGCUGGGCUGUAACUGACACUGAGGAACGAAAGCUAGGGGAGCAAAUGGGAUUAGAUACCCCGGUAGUC
rnacentral:rRNA from 1 species